AAUCUAUGUGUUGUGUAUAGUAGUUACAAUUCAAUUCACUUAAUUUUCUGUUAUUAUUCUUUAUUUCAUUAUCCCCUGUACAAUGUGUUACCAUUUGAAUUUUUGCAGGAUGGAUUACCAUCUAAAAGCGUUGUUGAGGCAGAUGCGGGGAAAGCUACUUGGAAUAGCAGCUUUGACAGUUUCACUAUCAUAUUAGAACUACUGGAUGAUCAGCACGCAGAUAUUCUUCGACACUUCUUCCUCUGGCCCCUGUAUCAGAUAAGGAAGGUGCAUUACUUUGGGCAGAUCAUUGAUGUAUUAUUAUGUCAGUCCUUGUUAGAGUUUGCUCUAUUGAUCGGACUAAAGAUUGCGAGCGAUGAAACAACUCGUGAAGGUACUCAGAGAAGCAACAUAUUGCACGAUGCUUAUUUCCAAGGACAAGGAAUGAUGCUUCUAUCGCAGCUGAUCAGAGCAAUCAAGGGGUGUGAUAAGAUGUUGAACAGACAGAAGCUAGGACUAGUCUACAUCCUUGAGAACGUGGUACAGUGUCAUCAUAAGAAGACUGUGAUCGACAUUUUCCAUCUAGAGAUGGUCAACAACAUCAAUGCAUAUGAGACUAUCUUCCUAUUAGAUACCCGUGAGGCGAGGAGAGACACGCUGCCCUCGAUGCAUCAUUGGCGAGCAUCCCGAGCAGAAGGAUGUUUGUCUGAAAAAAUAAUUAUCGGUUCUUCUCAGUAUUCUACAUUUGUAUUUUAUAUUGUACAUAGUUUAAAAUCUUGUUACAUGAUCAUUAACUAGUUGAAAUUUCAACAAAAAUAAAUUGAAAUGAAUCAUUUA
rnacentral:lncRNA from 1 species